AAGGUAAAUUGGCACAUUUCACAAAGGAUGCAAUUCUAGCUUCCAACAAAGUUUUUUCUUACUAAUAAAAACUUUCCAGGUUUUAAAUAUGAAAUAAGAUAUUACUAUCAAAGCUAUAUAGGAAGCCACCAAGUCCUUCAGCUCCAGAAUACAAUCCAGGGUUUCAAGAUAACUACAAGUGACAACUAAAACAAAUUAUGGAUCACAAUUCUAGCAGUGCCAGAAAAAGUGAGCAGUGUAAAGUUAAUCUAGAUGGUACAGAGACUCCUGAAACCACAAUAUUUUUAUGCCUAAAUUCUAUUAUACAAAAAGAUGGUAAAAGUGAAGAGAAUGUAAAUCAUAGGAUCAAAGCAAUGUGUUUGAAAUGAAGAACAACGAAGGCCUAAGGUAACAAUAAAAUCCAAGCAAGUUAAACAACAUCUACAAUACUGCAAUAUGACAGUCAAGUUUUACGGCAGAAGGCAUAGUCAGUUAAAAAAAAUCCUUUAUAAACUUAGCUU
rnacentral:misc_RNA from 1 species